UACGGGGGGAGCAAGCGUUGUUCGGAUUUACUGGGCGUAAAGGGCGCGUAGGCGGUCAGCACAAGUCAGUUGUGAAAUCUCCGGGCUUAACUCGGAAAGGUCAACUGAUACUGUGCGACUAGAGUGCAGAAGGGGCAACUGGAAUUCUCGGUGUAGCGGUGAAAUGCGUAGAUAUCAGGAAGAACACCCGUGGCGAAGGCGGCUCUCUGGGACGGUACUGACGCUGAGACGCGAAAGCGUGGGGAGCAACAGG
rnacentral:rRNA from 1 species